rnacentral:snRNA from 2 species
AUGCCUUUCUCAGCCUUUUGGCUAAGAUCAAGUGUAGUAUAUGUUCUUAACAGUUUAGUAACAAAUCUAAUAGUCAAUAUCGGACUUCAAGUCGUACAUAUU